UAGGCUAAAACUCAAAGGGUCAAAAGAAAAUUGAAAGAAACUACAUGAGUUGAACUAUUAAAAACUUCAUUCAUUUUCAAAUAACAACCUUGCAGCUAUUUCUCAUUUCUUUUUCCAAAUUUUUUUCUUUUUCUUUUCUUUAUAUUUUUUUUCCUUUUCUGCCAACUUUUGAAGUAUCACAACUAUAAUAAUUCAACCCCACACAACUCUAACUAAGACUCCUUCAAUGCUUUGAAUAGGGUGAUACCAUUAUUUUCACUUUUUGACUUGUAAUGAGUUUUA
rnacentral:lncRNA from 1 species